CGAUAUCGAUAUACGUCAGGCCAAUUAAUAAAAAAAAUUGUGUCGUCUACUUCGUUUUGUGCACGAAAAUCAGCACAACAAAUAAAAUUUCUAAAAUGUGGGCGUCGUGUGAACUCCAUGCUGUUUAGCAGAUUUGAGGCCUGAACCAGCCAUCAUUACAACACACGACAUGCAAGUUUUACUUCUGCUGGUAUUGACCUGUCACCACCAACAAUCUCAUCAUUGUCUUCUCUUGGCAUCCAGUUUUAUUGGGAAAAUUCCCAUUUCUUUAAAUCCCCCAUGUCAUCGUGUACAUGUGAGUGUAUUUACGAGGACCUGACGAGGACACCCUUUUCCCUAUCUCGUCUGGUGGAUUCAACUAUUCUGUGGAUGGAGCACCUGUGGAUGCCUGGCCGUAUUUUCCCUGGCUUAAAGGUAGGACAAAUUAUACCUAUUCUUCCUUAUUGACUAUUUGAUGGCGUCGAUUUUGAAUCGUGACAUAGUACAGAGAAUGAUUACUAUUCCUGAGCUAGGCUAGGCUAUAGACGAUUGAUUGGAACUGUUUUCUCUUUUUACUCAGUAAGGGUUCAUUAAAUUUAAGCAAUGGUCACUCAUUUGUAGAACGACUGCAGAUCAGGCCCUGAUUUGUACCUCACAACUUUGUCUGUGGGUCUAAACAAUCAAGUUCAAAAAUAUUUUAACUUGAAACGCUUUAAGCAAAGUGUAACCAGAAAAUUGUAUGGCCAAAAGAGACCUGCCGCCACACCGGCACUCCUCAUUUCACAGUCGGCCAGUUCUUUACACACACCUCUACAUAAUAGCAAGUCUUCCAUCUCUGUCCGGCUCUGUGAUGUCUUGAUGAGAAUAAAUCGAAUCCAAGAAAA